rnacentral:rRNA from 1 species
CCAAACUCCUACGGGAGGCAGCAGUGAGGAAUAUUGGUCAAUGGGCGCGAGCCUGAACCAGCCAAGUAGCGUGAAGGAUGACUGCCCUAUGGGUUGUAAACUUCUUUUAUAUGGGAAUAAAGUUUUCCACGUGUGGAAUUUUGUAUGUACCAUAUGAAUAAGGAUCGGCUAACUCCGUGCCAGCAGCCGCGGUAAUACGGAGGAUCCGAGCGUUAUCCGGAUUUAUUGGGUUUAAAGGGAGCGUAGAUGGAUGUUUAAGUCAGUUGUGAAAGUUUGCGGCUCAACCGUAAAAUUGCAGUUGAUACUGGAUAUCUUGAGUGCAGUUGAGGCAGGCGGAAUUCGUGGUGUAGCGGUGAAAUGCUUAGAUAUCACGAAGAACUCCGAUUGCGAAGGCAGCUUACUAACCUGUAACUGACAUUGAUGCUCGAAAGUGUGGGUAUCAAACAGGAUUAGAUACCCUGGUAGUCCACACGGUAAACGAUGAAUACUCGCUGUUUGCGAUAUACAGCAAGCGGCCAAGCGAAAGCGUUAAGUAUUCCACCUGGGGAGUACGCCGGCAACGGUGAAACUCAAAGGAAUUGACGGGGGCCCGCACAAGCGGAGGAACAUGUGGUUUAAUUCGAUGAUACGCGAGGAACCUUACCCGGGCUUGAAUUGCAACUGAAUGAUGUGGAGACAUGUCAGCCGCAAGGCAGUUGUGAAGGUGCUGCAUGGUUGUCGUCAGCUCGUGCCGUGAGGUGUCGGCUUAAGUGCCAUAACGAGCGCAACCCUUGCCGAUAGUUACUAACAGGUCAUGCUGAGGACUCUGUCGGGACUGCCAUCGUAAGAUGUGAGGAAGGUGGGGAUGACGUCAAAUCAGCACGGCCCUUACGUCCGGGGCUACACACGUGUUACAAUGGGGGGUACAGAAGGCAGCUACCUGGUGACAGGAUGCUAAUCCCAAAAACCUCUCUCAGUUCGGAUCGAAGUCUGCAACCCGACUUCGUGAAGCUGGAUUCGCUAGUAAUCGCGCAUCAGCCAUGGCGCGGUGAAUACGUUCCCGGGCCUUGUACACACCGCCCGUCAAGCCAUGGGAGCCGGGGGUACCUGAAGUGCGUAACCGCAAGGAGCGCCCUAGGGUAAAACUGGUGACUGGGGCUAAGUCGUAACAAGGUAGCCGUACCGGAAGGUGCGGCUG